rnacentral:lncRNA from 1 species
UCGCUCACUCGGUUUACCCUGAACAACAUAGGUUUAGCCUCGGCGAGGAGGCUAGCUCUAGUGGCACGAAGAAUGAAGCUUCCGGUCACAAUGAGCAACUAAGAAAUGAAAUAAUUGAUUUAGACUCAGAUUCUGAACAACCUUCUGGGGACAAUCAGAAUGUCAACCUGAAUGCAGAAUAUAUUGAACUUGACGAGGAUAUUGAUGUGGUUGAAGCUAACGGAUCAGGGAACAGGGCUUCACAACCUGGCAGACCUUUCCAAGAGACUAGUGUUAGAACAGGUUCUUCUGUUGAUGCAUCCUGCAAGAGGAAGGCUAUUGAAGGCAGUAGUAGUGGUCAGUCUUCUUUAGGUGGUUACCAUCACGGAGAAAGCAGCAGUUCGUGGACCCCAGUUUCUACCGAGUAUAGGUCAGUAAAUGGUCUAAACAUAUCUGGAUCUCGAGGAGAGGUCUCUGCUACUGCUUCAAAUUUUCUUGUAAGCUCAAGUAGAAAUACAUGUGUCAGGAGUAAUCCCUCUGAAACUGUAAGCCCAGCUGCCUUUUCUGCGGGAACUGUUGUCAGGCGACCUGUCCCUCCACCGCACUCUAACUUAUCAAGACUUGUACCAUCAGAUCAUCAUGGACAAUCCCUAGGAAAUAUCUUCUCACGGAACCCAAAUCCUCCUGCACCUGUUUCAAGGAAUAUGCUACCACCAUUUCAGUGGACUGAGAGCUCACUAGCGGGUGAAUCAUUCAACUCCACCGUGCCCACUGAGAGAAAUAAUCUUCAUCUAGAAGACACCAGGUCAAGAAGCAUAACAGCAGCGAGUGUUCUAGAGAAUCCCUUGUUUAAUCCAGCUCCUGACCUCAGCAGAAAUGCUAACCUGAGUAUUGCAUCAUCAUCAUCAGUGUCCAGGACAGGCUCAAGCACAGGUGUUCAAGCACCAUCUUCUAAUCUAGCGUGGACGCCUCACCGGAAUUUACCACCUCACCAAAGAAGAAGAUCGGAACUUGCCCAUAGGUCAUUGAUUUCUUCCCUUUCUGCAGAUGCGAGAUCUGGUGAUCAUCAUCCACCACUUCGUUCGUUGGCUCCUCCUGCCCCUCAGGAUGGGCUUGUGCUUCAGCCUGGUGGUGGUGAUAGUAGCCGGGCAUACUCGAGAGCAGGUCUGUGGCUUGAUAGACAAGUGGAUAGUUUGGUUGGGGCUCCUCAAUCUUUAAGGGCUUUGGCAGCUGCAAGCAGAGGAAGAAACAGACUUAUGGUAUCCCAGGUCAGUUCAUACAAGUUCGGUUAACCUUGAUGGUUUUUGUUAGACUGACAGUGAGUCUCUUUGAAACAGAUGCAGAAUAUCUUGGAAGUGAUGCGGAGGGAUCCGAAUCAUAACUUGCGGCUUGAGGUUAGUUUCUCCUUGGGGCGGGCUCAGUAGAAUAAACAGUGUUCUAAAAUUACAAGUGAACUUGUCUUCUCUCUGUCUCUGUUGAACUUUAAAAAGUAAUGUGAAUUGCUUGAUUGUCCAGGACGUUAUGCUUCUGAAACCUUAAUUAAAAAAUUAGUAAACAAAAAUAAUGGUAAUUAUAUAUGAUAUUUUUAAUUAAAUAAAAGUGCUUUGUAAUUUUAUUUUGUAAAAAUUAACUAAAAACGACACAUAGGAAAACCUAAGUAUCAAUAUUUACUUGUUCUUGGUACUGAAAACGUUGGUGAGGAACUGAGGAUGUAUGUGGAAUCACUGGAGAAGAAGAUGCCUAAGUCAAUUAGUGGUCAUGAAAUAUAUUGAGUGGUUGUCGACUGGGUUGUGUUAACAAACACAUAGAAAACUUAAUUAAUGGGCCUUCGAGUGAAUAUAUUUUUUUGUUCUUAGUGGCAAGAAUAUUUUGUUGAAGUAUCAAUAUUUGAUUGGCCUGACUUUUCUUUAAUUGUUACUAUCUAAGUUCCAAUUUUUGAUAUUUUUAUAUAACAGAAAUUACAAAAGUCUGUAUUGUGAGUUUCAACUAUUCACAUCCAUAGGACCAUAUAACAUGAUGUUUCACGGACUAAACAUUACCAACAUAUUUAUUUUACUAUAUACUUUGCUAUAUAUAUAUUUAUCAAACAUUUUUAUAUUCCAAAAUAAAAGAGCGAAAUUACAUUUAUUUUCAUAAUUAAAAAAUAUUGCGUAUGAAAUAUGUUUUAGUAUUUACAUAAUUUCAAACACAAAAAAAUUACUUCUAUAGUUUUCAUUAAUUGUGUUUGGGUUUAUAGAAUUAAAACCAAAAAUUCAUUAUGAUUUUUUCCAUAAAUGAAAUAAAAAUAUGCAUGACCAGAAUGAAAUUGCCACUUGAAGUUGUUUCUUUUUUUUUUUUUUGAAACACGGAAUUGUGUCUAAAAAAUCAAGUUAUGUAGGGGGUGUGAACCUGAUCAUUUGUAUUUUAGGCUAAAAAAAAUUAUAUAAAGAAUAAAUAAAAUUGAUUGCGAAUUAUUUAUAACAUGAUACACUUUCUACAAAACGUUUUUUUUAUAGAUUUUGUUUUUUAAUUUUAAAUUCAUAAGCUGAUAAUCAGUGCCGGUCAUAAAAAUUUAAGACCAAGUUUGUAAACUUGAGAUUUUACCAUUAGACCUAAAAAAACGAUUGAAAAUAUGUGGCCGAAAAUAUAUUUAUUGUGAAGCGGCCAAAAACCACUGAUUUCUUUGUUUAAGUCCAAGGGCCGGCUCUGCUGAUAAUCUCUGGGAGUAGAAAAUUUAAGUAAAUAAUAUUUCUAAUGAACAAAUGUCAUCUUGUGUUUAUUUUUAGUUGAGAAUCUAAUGAAAUUAAAGAAAAAAGAAAGGCAAGGAUAUGAAAAGAUAAGCAAUCAGAAAGCACACCAAAUGACCAAAGUUACAUGGUAACAAAAGGAAAGAAACCAAAUCUGUUGGUUUAGUUUGGUUCGGUUUAGUUAAAUUCAAAAAACAAAGAGAGGAAAAUUGAAAAACGAGGGACGUGUGAAGAAGCAAAGGCUAAGAACUUGCCAGCUUGCUGCUGUCUCCUCUUCAAACAAUUUAAUUUAUAGUAUAAAAAAAUUUUUAAUAAGUUUUUUUGUUGGUAUUCGUUGAUUAAGGCUAAGCUUAUUGAAUUCUCCUCUUUGGAAACUGCUCUUAUGACUGACCAUUUUGCUUUCUUUCUUUCUUUAUUUUUCCUUUUCAUAAAAAAAUAUACAUUUUUAAGUUUUCCUAACGUGAAUUAAAACAUUGCCGUCUCUUCCUCUGCCUAAUAAUCAAUCCUCCCUUCCUCUUCUCUCUCUGCAACAAAGCGGUACGUUCUCUCUCUCUCUUCCUCAAGUUUUGUUCUUUCUUCUCAUCCCAAGAUUAAUUUAGAUCGGUUAUGUUUUUCUAUUUUCUUUUUAUUGUUGGGUUUUGAUUUUGUCAUAUCUGGGACUUAUCAUUCGGAAUUGAGAAGAAUCUCUGUUGAAACCGAUUGUUCUAAAGUUGGCUCCUUUAUGUAUAGAUCUCUAAUCAACUUUUGUUUGUUUUGAUAGAAAGCUCUCUUCUUUACCCUUUAUUGAUGAUAUCUUCAUCUUCUGAUUCUGUCUUGUGGGUUGUUUGCCUGACCGACCGACCACCAUGCCUUUAUCUUCCUUCAAGCUGUUUGCUAGCUCUUGGGACUUUGUGACACUUAACUUCCUUUGCUUGUUGUUUUGUCAACCUCUGUCUCUAGGUGUCAAAUUGAUACUUCAUUCACCUCUUAUGAAGUCAUAUGUCAUCUGUUAUGAAUUGUGUUUUACUUGGCCAACUAAUCUAUGAGUCAGUGAGUUGUUUUAAGCUAUUGUGUGAUUUUAUUUGUAAUUACAGUUCUAGGAACUAUGUUUUCAUUGAGAGCAUUUGAGUGUGUUUAUGAGUUUCUUCCUUUUUCAUUCACAAUUUAACUUUUCUUUGUUACUGAAUGAUUUAUACUGUCUUUGUUCUUUUUUUCAGUCUCCACGUUAGGCAGGCACAUUGCUAGAGGAGCAAAGAAAGUCUCGCGAGUCCUCCUCUUCUCCCAAGUGUAACUGUGGUUAAACUUUAGCCGAGAUGCAGGGAGAGAGGGCCAGUCUCGGCUAUUUAUCAGAGGGCUUAAACUUUGAGCAUGGUUCCACCUCCAGUAAUGGUUUGAUGGAUCACUGGGACGGUCUUGGUGAUAACGACUUGCAGGACUACAUGAUUGCAAAUUCUGAAUCUCUCGCUCACUCGGUUUACCCUGAACAACAUAGGUUUAGCCUCGGCGAGGAGGCUAGCUCUAGUGGCACGAAGAAUGAAGCUUCCGGUCACAAUGAGCAACUAAGAAAUGAAAUAAUUGAUUUAGACUCAGAUUCUGAACAACCUUCUGGGGACAAUCAGAAUGUCAACCUGAAUGCAGAAUAUAUUGAACUUGACGAGGAUAUUGAUGUGGUUGAAGCUAACGGAUCAGGGAACAGGGCUUCACAACCUGGCAGACCUUUCCAAGAGACUAGUGUUAGAACAGGUUCUUCUGUUGAUGCAUCCUGCAAGAGGAAGGCUAUUGAAGGCAGUAGUAGUGGUCAGUCUUCUUUAGGUGGUUACCAUCACGGAGAAAGCAGCAGU